UCGUGAGCUGCACUUUGGGGGAGAAGAGCCACGUGUGGCUCAUGAGCCACGAGUUGGCCACCCCUUUCUUAGAGAUCUAAAAAAUGAUGAAAGUUGUGGAAAAAUAGAAUAAGGAAAUGUCAUUCAUUUCUUCACUAGCAUAACAGCCUCCAACACAGGCACUGAUGCACUGACUUCUAGAAGCAGGGAUUGGAAGGCGAGAACUGUAUCAGUCUCAUCUUUUCAUCUUGAGUGAGGAGGAGAACAAGAACCAGAGCAAAGUGGAACUAAAUUGGAGUAUCAUGAUAGAAACUUUUGGAGGAGAUGAACUUCUGUUAACUCUUCAAGUGAUUCGGUGUGCCAUCAAAGCAGUGCUAGACAGGAAGCCACAAUGAUGAACAUGAUGGCAAGCCUGCACAGGUCAGACAAGAUGUUUAUAACUCAACACACAUACAGCUUCAAUAGCAGCUGUAUUAUCUUGUCUGUCAUUUCUUUUCCACACUGUGAACUCCUGCAGCCUUCCCUUGGGUAUUUUCCACUGUUAUCCCUUGGGUAUUUUCCACCUUAACAUGAGUGCUGAAUAUGGCCAUGCUCAUAGACUCAUAGAUUAUAAGCCACAAGGGACCACUGUGAUCAUCCAGUCUGACCUCCUUUAUAUAACAUUCCACAGCCCUUCCCUGAAUUAAUUCCUAUUUGAACUAAAGCACGUCCUUGAGAAGAAAACUCCAAUCUCAAUGUUAAUGGUGCCAGUGAUGGAGAAUCCAUGACAAGCUUUGGUAAAUUGCUCCAAUAAUGAAUUAUUCUCGCUGUUAAAAAUGUACACCGUAUUUCCCAUCUGAAUUUGUCUAGCUUCAACUUCCAGCCUUUGCAUCUUGUUGCACCUUUUUCUGUUAGUCCAAUAUCAAAUUGUAGUUCCCCAUAUAGGUACUUAGAAAAUGUAAUCAAGUCGCCUCCUAACCUUCUCUUUCAUAAAAUACAUAGGCUGAGCUCCUUGACACUCUCUCAUGUUUUCCAGUCCUAUGAUCAUUCUUGUGGAUCUGGUUUGAACACCGCAGUUUAUCAACAUCCUUCUUGAACUGCAGACAUCAGAACUGGACAUAACACUGCACUAGCUGUCACACUAGAGCCAUCUACAGAGGUCAUUGAUAAAAUAUUCAAUAGGAAAAGGCCAAGAAUUGAUCCCUAGGAAAUCCCAUGAGAAACAUACCUGCUCAAUGAUGAUUCCCAGCUUUAAGACUUGUCAGUUAGCCAGUUUCUAAGCUACUUAAUGUGUGCCAUGUUGUUGUUCUUUCCUUCUAGUUUUUUCAACAAAAUAUCAUGUUGUACCAAGUCAAAUGUUUUAAAGAUGUCUAAAUCUAUUUCAUUAGCAUUAAUAGCAGUAUCAAACAAGUCUCAUCAGAAAAAGAUGUCAAAUCAUAUUGAUCCUUGCAAAACGCAAAUAACUUUAAACUGUCAACAUUUUUGUGAGAUUGUUCUUCCAUUUUUUGACUCAUUCUGAAUUUAACCUAUAUGUCUGCAACACCUAGAAACCAAGUAUGUUUUAUCAGGUAUAUCUUUUUGUUUUGCUAAUAAAAUCACCUUUUU